rnacentral:rRNA from 1 species
UACGUAGGGUGCGAGCGUUGUCCGGAAUUAUUGGGCGUAAAGAGCUCGUAGGCGGCUUGGCAAGUCGGGUGUGAAACCUCCAGGCUCAACCUGGAGACGCCACCCGAUACCUGCCAUGGCUAGAGUCCGGUAGGGGACCACGGAAUUCCUGGUGUAGCGGUGAAAUGCGCAGAUAUCAGGAGGAACACCGGUGGCGAAGGCGGAUGGUCGUGGGCCGGAACUGACGCUGAGGAGCGAAAGCGUGGGAGCGAACGG